AUAACUAUCUAGCUGAACUUCUGCCACCUGAUGUCGUCUCAGUCUGCUACUCCUCCGCCAUCUUGACUCCUCGCUUCUGUAGUGGGAAGUUUCAGAAGAGGUUUCUAACCAACAACUUUUACCACUUUAAAGGAAUAAAACUUUGGAUAAGAUGGAAGUGCUGGAUUCACAGGGCAGAUGAGGAUACUGAGGUAAAGAGAGGGAAAGGGACUUGCCUGCAGUCACAAAGCCAGGAAACAGCUGAGAGUUAAGAGAUUUGUGCAAGACCACAGGGCCAGGAAUGACAGAGUGGGGAUUUAAAUUCAGAUCCCUAAGAGGGCGAUCCUACUGUGGGAAGGGAA